CAUCUAAGUACCCCGAGGAAAAGAAAUCAACCGAGAUUCCCCCAGUAGCGGCGAGCGAACGGGGAGGAGCCCAGAGCCUGAAUCAGCAUGUGUGUUAGUGGAAGCGUCUGGAAAGGCGCGCGAUACAGGGUGACAGCCCCGUACACAAAAGUGCAUGUGCUGUGAGCUCGAUGAGUAGGGCGGGACACGUGGUAUCCUGUCUGAAUAUGGGGGGACCAUCCUCCAAGGCUAAAUACUCCUGACUGACCGAUAGUGAACCAGUACCGUGAGGGAAAGGCGAAAAGAACCCCGGCGAGGGGAGUGAAAAAGAACCUGAAACCGUGUACGUACAAGCAGUGGGAGCACCCUUUGGGGUGUGACUGCGUACCUUUUGUAUAAUGGGUCAGCGACUUAUAUUCUGUAGCAAGGUUAACCGAAUAGGGGAGCCGGAGGGAAACCGAGUCUUAAUUGGGCGUUAAGUUGCAGGGUAUAGACCCGAAACCCGGUGAUCUAGCCAUGGGCAGGUUGAAGGUUGGGUAACACUAACUGGAGGACCGAACCGACUAAUGUUGAAAAAUUAGCGGAUGACCUGUGGCUGGGGGUGAAAGGCCAAUCAAACC
rnacentral:rRNA from 1 species